AAGAAAUCAGCCUAGUAACCAACGAGGAAUCACAGAGGGGAUGGGCAUCUUUGUACAGAAGACCGGACGAGGCCCAGAGGAAGCCGCCGGCUCACACGGCAGCUGGCGCCAGGGCUGGGACGGGGACCCAAGGCUCCUGACCUCGGGUUUUCUUUGUACAACAACCUGCUACUAUAUUUUUUAGAGAAAUAAAUUAUGCUCCGUGCUGGUGGGAAGCCUUUUAAACAAAAAGAAAAAAGGAAACGGCCAAGAUGCAUCUUAAUUAGAAAGCGCUUGGGAAAAAAAAAAUCUUCGCGGGAGGCGGGUACACAGCACCGUGCCACGAACGGUCAGCAGCAUCAGAGUGUGAGAACCCAGCAGGCUAAUUUAGAGCCUCCAGCGUCCGGAUGGAGCGGCCACGGCUCCCCAAACACAUGACUGCCCGGAAGGUUUGCUCGCUGCCCUUACGCCUGACCCGUUCCAUCCAAGCAAUUGCAACAUCACCACUUCCAAGGAAGAUGACAGCUCUUUCGCAAAACAAACUCAAAGGCUGGGUCAGGAAUGUGCACCACAGCCUGCUAAAAAUCAGUGACAACAUGGCCUGACGCUGAUUUUCCCAAGAACUAUGGGAUCCUUGGUGUUUUGGUUUUGUUUUUCAGACAAAAGAAACCGUCCACAAAGUAGAUAGGGUGUUUUCAGCCAGAGAAGUCAACGUGCUCUGUUACCCAAUAGCAGGGGAGGAGGGAAAGGGCCCCGGGAAGGGGACGCGCGCACGCCAGGCAGGGUACUGGGGCAACCUAGGCCUGCCCCCCUCGCCGUCACAGGCCCUGAAUCCUCAGCUGAUGUCCAGUAGAAACUGAUGCCUGGAGAUGGGCUGCAGCAGACUCUGGCCAUGAAGUACAUGUCUUCUCCAGCUUCCAUGAGGACAGUGGAGUAGAAGAUACAGCACCACCAGCCCCGAAACCAUCCUUCUGCCCUGUUUCCUUCUCUGUGGCCACCGUAAGUGGUCACUGGGGGACAGGGCAGCACGGUGGUUUAUGGGUUGGUUUUUGGAGUUUGACAGCCUUGUCAUGAAGUCUCUGCUUGACAACUGUGUGACUAAGCAAGUCCUAAAACUCACCUAGUCUCAGUUUCCUUAUCUGUGAAAUAGGGAUAA